UAGAGUUUGAUCCUGGCUCAGGACGAACGCUGGCGGCGUGCCUAAUACAUGCAAGUCGAGCGGACAGAUGGGAGCUUGCUCCCUGAUGUUAGCGGCGGACGGGUGAGUAACACGUGGGUAACCUGCCUGUAAGACUGGGAUAACUCCGGGAAACCGGGGCUAAUACCGGAUGCUUGUUUGAACCGCAUGGUUCAAACAUAAAAGGUGGCUUCGGCUACCACUUACAGAUGGACCCGCGGCGCAUUAGUUAGUUGGUGAGGUAACGGCUCACCAAGGCAACGAUGCGUAGCCGACCUGAGAGGGUGAUCGGCCACACUGGGACUGAGACACGGCCCAGACUCCUACGGGAGGCAGCAGUAGGGAAUCUUCCGCAAUGGACGAAAGUCUGACGGAGCAACGCCGCGUGAGUGAUGAAGGUUUUCGGAUCGUAAAGCUCUGUUGUUAGGGAAGAACAAGUACCGUUCGAAUAGGGCGGUACCUUGACGGUACCUAACCAGAAAGCCACGGCUAACUACGUGCCAGCAGCCGCGGUAAUACGUAGGUGGCAAGCGUUGUCCGGAAUUAUUGGGCGUAAAGGGCUCGCAGGCGGUUUCUUAAGUCUGAUGUGAAAGCCCCCGGCUCAACCGGGGAGGGUCAUUGGAAACUGGGGAACUUGAGUGCAGAAGAGGAGAGUGGAAUUCCACGUGUAGCGGUGAAAUGCGUAGAGAUGUGGAGGAACACCAGUGGCGAAGGCGACUCUCUGGUCUGUAACUGACGCUGAGGAGCGAAAGCGUGGGGAGCGAACAGGAUUAGAUACCCUGGUAGUCCACGCCGUAAACGAUGAGUGCUAAGUGUUUAGGGGGUUUCCGCCCCUUAGUGCUGCAGCUAACGCAUUAAGCACUCCGCCUGGGGAGUACGGUCGCAAGACUGAAACUCAAAGGAAUUGACGGGGGCCCGCACAAGCGGUGGAGCAAUGGGGGUUUAAUUCGAAGCAACGCGAAAAACCUUACCAGGUCUUGACAUCCUCUGACAAUCCUAGAGAUAGGACGUCCCCUUCGGGGGCAGAGUUUGACAAGGUGGGUUGCAAUGGGUUGUUCGUCAGCUCGUGUCGUGAGAUGUUGGGUUAAGUCCCGCAACGAGCGCAACCCUUGAUCUUAGUUGCCAGCAUUCAGUUGGGCACUCUAAGGUGACUGCCGGUGACAAACCGGAGGAAGGUGGGGAUGACGUCAAAUCAUCAUGCCCCUUAUGACCUGGGCUACACACGUGCUACAAUGGACAGAACAAAGGGCAGCGAAACCGCGAGGUUAAGCCAAUCCCACAAAUCUGUUCUCAGUUCGGAUCGCAGUCUGCAACUCGACUGCGUGAAGCUGGAAUCGCUAGUAAUCGCGGAUCAGCAUGCCGCGGUGAAUACGUUCCCGGGCCUUGUACACACCGCCCGUCACACCACGAGAGUUUGUAACACCCGAAGUCGGUGAGGUAACCUUUUAGGAGCCAGCCGCCGAAGGUGGGACAGAUGAUUGGGGUGAAGUCGUAACAAGGUAACCA
rnacentral:rRNA from 1 species